ensembl:lncRNA
AAAAAAAGAAAGCACAGUUCUACAUGCUCACACGUCAUCUCGCUUAAAUUUGUUCUCUCUUUCUAAUUCCAAUGUCCCUUUCUCUCUCGCUCUCCUGACAUUCAAAACCAACUCUUUACCCCCAAGCUCUCUCUGAUGUGAUAGCAAAAUGGCCUUUCCCCUGCUCAGGAAGCAGCUAAUGAGUUGUAUCUUAUGAGCUUACGAGGCAUAUCAUACAGGAUAAUACUGCUGGGAAAUUGAGAGCAAGAGACUGAAACUUGAGACUCGAUCUUUAGGAUUAAAACGAUAUUCAAAUAGGUCAUUGCAAAUGUUUUACAAAACAAAAUGCCGUAAGGGUCACAAAGGCACCAAUUAUUCCUUCUUCAUUUUACUGAAUUAAAAAUUUUUUUUUUUUUUUUUUUUUUACAUAUGACAGCUGGUAAUCUGACAGUCCAAUAUAUGCCACCCACAAGUACUCAUAGAAAACGUACAAGAGUUGGGAGAUGAUAUCUAUGAGAUGUGAAAUGAGAUCUGACUCAGAGAUCUUCCUGUGAAAACAAGAAUGAAGACCAGAAUGAAGUCCAGACCGCGUGUAUAUGCAAGUGAUUGCGUCAGUUUAGCAGUGGACGUAAAUGUGUUUAUCGUGUUCAUCAUUGGUCUUCUGUCCUCUUUCCUGAAUCAUUCUUGCCAUUUAGAGCUGGCGCCAUGCUAAAGAGAUGAGAGAUGAGAGAACAGACGAGUGCCAUAGUACCAACCGAUGAUCCUAAGCACACUCGAAUUCAAGGGUUCUACAGUUGGGAAAACAUUAAGUGCUGUGACCCUCCAGAUAACCCAAACACACUCUGUCUCACUCGAUAGGAGUCAUAACUCAUUCUGUUAUCGUGGCACUGGCUAUGAGAUUCACAUUAGGAAUGAAAUAUCUUUGGUCAUCAAUACGAAACUAUUAAAAAAGUAGAAAACAGGUAGGUUUCUGAAUUACUAUAUUUACAGUAGACCCACUAUUCCAGUAAUUAUAAUAGGUAGCUGUCUUACGGUGUUUACUGAAGACCUGUUACUCAAUUACUGGUACUCCAGUAGUUACAGUAUGUUGCUGUGUUAGUGCAUUUACAGUAGAGCUGCUCCUUCAGUAGUUGAUGUGUCACUGUGCGUAUGAUAGACUUGCUACUCCAGUAGUUACAGGAGGUCGCUGUAUUACCGUAUUUAUGGUAGAGCUGCUACUCCAGUAAGUACGGGAGGUCGCUGUAUUACUAUAAUUUACGGUAGACCUGUUACUCCAGUAAUUACAGGAGGUCACUGUAUUACUAUAAUUUACGGUAGACGUGCUACCCCAGUAGUUACGGGAGGUCGCUGUAUUACCGCAUUUACGGUUUACCUGCUACUCCAGUAAUUACGGGAGGUCGCUGUAUUACUAUAAUUUACGGUAGACCUGCUACUCCAGUAGUUACAGGAGGUCGCUGUAUUACCAAACUUACGGUAGAUCUGCUGCUCCAGUAGUUCACUGUAUUAGCAUAUUUAAGAUAGACCCGCUGCUCCAGUAGUUACAGUAGGUCACUGUGUUACUGUACUUAGAACUGGACGGCUAUUCCAGUAGUUAAAUGUAGCUUGCUGCAGUAUGUAGCAAGUUCACUAGGAAGCAUAUAUUACCCGUUAAAAGUAUAUUAACAUUAACUUCCGUCUAAUGUAACACUGAAAAUUCUGUGGCUGCACUAGCAGGAUUUAUUUAUGAAGCAAAUGACAAGGCAAUAGCAUUUAACACUGCUAUAUAUAAAAAAAGACACACUGCUUACAGGACUACAAUUGCUUUCUAGGCCUGACAUGAGGAUUAAUAUGGCCACUAUAGCAAAGGCUCAUGAAACAAUACAGUGCUGAGUUGCAGUGAUGCGAACAUGACCAAAACUAAAUUCAACUGUACAAAUAGAUCUCUCUGAAAUAUCAUUUUAGAGGCAACAAAAUAAAAAAAAUCUCUGCUACAUUAAUGCAAUGUACCGUAUAUAUCAGUUCUUUAUCUACAAGGGUACGUGUACUCUGGAGCAACAUUCAGAACAGAA